CACGUAGGGUGCGAGCGUUGUCCGGAAUUAUUGGGCGUAAAGAGCUCGUAGGCGGUGUGUCGCGUCUGCCGUGAAAACCUGCAGCUUAACUGUGGGCGUGCGGUCGAUACGGGCAUCACUGGAGUUCGGCAGGGGAGACUGGAAUUCCUGGUGUAGCGGUGAAAUGCGCAGAUAUCAGGAGGAACACCGGUGGCGAAGGCGGGUCUCUGGGCCGAUACUGACGCUGAGGAGCGAAAGCGUGGGGAGCAAACAGG
rnacentral:rRNA from 1 species